UAAGACUCCUUGUACUGUGUCCCAGCUAUCCGUGCCUGACUUUGAUCCUCACUGCUUCAUAAUGAGCCAGAAUGCCUCCAGGUCAAGUAGCAGAGAUGCAUGCCAUAGCACCAUCUGUCAGACUUUUUGAAAAGAAGCAAGUCCCAGACAAUGUGAGGCCUGCACAGAAAAAUCAGCUACGAUGUUCUUAGCCGCUGCUGAAGUAGAACAUGCAUUUGGAAGGCAAGACAACAACUCCCUUUUAUGCUGCAAACAGUUUAAGCAAGUUUGUGACAUCCUUCAUUUUGCACCAUUACUUGAGAAACUGAAAGUGAGGAUUCUGACAAGGUUUGGAUCCUGUAAACUUUUGCUAUUAGUUGUUUUGAGCUGACUCGCACUUCUGGGAAGCAUCCAUACCUUUCACAAGAAAUCAGGAAGACUAAAAUUAGAAAGACUAUACAUAUUCAGAUGAGGCUGUUUUAGGGAGUAAUUUAUUGCUAAUAUAUAGGGUGUUUUUUUGGCUAGAAAAAUGCUCUGGAACAUGCCACGCACGUAUAUUAUGAAGCUUUAUAGAGGCCUGUGGUGCUUAUUCUUUAACAAGCUUUAGGUUAGGUGACUAUAAAUUUGUACAGUUGUAUAGUGCCAGAUUAAUUGUAUGGAUUGCAUGAGAUAAGAGUUGAUGGCUUUUUUUAAUUAUAUGUCAAAUUAAACAUAAAUCUUCCUGUGCACUUUUCUUGAGCAUGGGAUGCUGUUGUAUCUGAUCUUACAGAUUGGUUGCUUUACCCUUCUUUAAAACAUUCUGGCAUAACAGCCAUUUCUUUAUGACUAAGUGAACAACCAGUGUCUAAAUAAACAAACACCUUAUAUUAAUAUUAGAAACAUAGAAAAGGAAAUGUUUAAGAACAAUGCUAUCAAAUCUUCUGUCAGCUAACAAAAAAAAGUUUUUUAACUAUCUAGUACAGUUUGGCAUA